GCUGGUCCAGGUAGCCGGCCAGGCGGCCGAGGCCGCAAGCGCGGUUGCCGCAGCCGGUACCGCCGUGCUGAAGCCGCAUCACCUCACCCACUUGCCGUCGUCUGCGCCGUCAGUUGUCUCAAGCAUUGCUUCUACCCUUAUCUAAUCAUUUUGCAGUGUCCGAAAUGUUCCCUAGUGUUAACUUUGACAAUGCCCUCUCUGGUGCAGUAGUGCCAUCUGCACACCUUAUUCAACAGAGGAUAUGCUAUACUACAUAUGGUCCAAUGUACGGGGUUACUCUGACUUAUUCAUGGGUACGACAAAAGUAUUCUAAUCGGGAGAGGUCUCAUAGCUUCUCCCUUCUAAGCCCCAACCAGAUCGAUUUUCCAAGUUGAACAGAAAGAGAACACUAUGGAACAGGAUGAAAGCUUGUUCAUGUGCUCUAAACUUUACAUUGCAGCGUUCGAGGGGAACACACAAGAGGUUGCCGGCCUCCUAGCCGGGAGCAGCAGCGGCACACCGGCGGCAGCUUGGCAUGCAAGGCCCAGGCAAGACACGGCACCGCAGUCAAACGCUGGUCACCAUGGAGGAUGUACGGUUCAGGAGCUCACCGGAGAGCGAAACACGGUUCUCCACAUCGCCGCCGAGCAGGGCCAUGGCGACCUGAUCGCGGGUGGCACGGGCCAACGUGGAGGAGGACGCGCUCCGUGGGAUCCUAUGCGGCAAGAACGACGCCGGGGACACGGCACUGCAUCUGGCCGCGAGGCACGGCCACCGCGCGGUGGUGGAAAGGCUCGUGAAGCUGGCGCCGGAGCUGGCCGCAGAGACAGACGGCGCAGGCGUGUCGGCUCUGUACUUGGCGGUGAUUAGCAGGUCAGUGGACGCCGUUAGAGCGAUCAUCGUCUCGUGCUGUGAUGCGUCGGCUGCCGGGCCAAACUUGCAGAACGCUUUGCAUGCCGCUGUUCUUCAAAGUUCAGAAAUGGUUGCUUUGCUCUUGAAAUGGAGGCCAGCUCUCGCCAGCAAAGUCGACAUAAACAAGAGCAUUCCACUGCAUUUUGCUGCAUCUGACGGCGAUUGUUCUAUCAUUGAAGUGCUCUUAACACAUUCAUCGCCCAGCACUGCAUAUAUGCAGGACAGUGAUGGCAUCUCAGCUCUUCAUGCCGCAUCGC